rnacentral:rRNA from 1 species
UACGGAGGGUGCAAGCGUUGUUCGGAAUUACUGGGCGUAAAGCGCGCGUAGGCGGCUUUGUAAGUUAGAGGUGAAAGCCCGGAGCUCAACUCCGGAACUGCCUUUAAGACUGCAUCGCUAGAAUUGUGGAGAGGUGAGUGGAAUUCCGAGUGUAGAGGUGAAAUUCGUAGAUAUUCGGAAGAACACCAGUGGCGAAGGCGACUCACUGGACACAUAUUGACGCUGAGGUGCGAAAGCGUGGGGAGCAAACAGG